GCCAUUUUGUGUGAAACUGAAACUUGUGUUUCUGUUGAAUCGUUAAGGUUAAGUGAGAGUGUAGUAUAUUUAAAUUAUAAUCACGUUUGCAUAAAUUUUCAAUAUAUUUGAAGUGAACCAGCGUUCUUGUUGUCAAAGGUUUUCCAAAGACUUGUUAGUCUGUUCGUGAAACUGAAAAUGUACAACUGGAACACAACAAAGGGAAAGAGCUCAGUAGGCCUGUAAAGGAUGAUAAGGCACCAGACAUUUUGGCUGCGGUUCAGCUCAAACCAUGCAACUCAUCUAGAAGAGUGGCUUCCGAAGCAGAAAUUUGCCAACGAUCAGUACUCAGGAUCCUUAACCCUGAAACUGACCAUCAUUUUUCCCCCAAAAUGGCAGGCACCUAUCGCCAUUUUGGAAGGGGGUUUUAAAAUGUUUAUUACUGCUCAUCUAUUUUUCAAGAUACAGACAUUUAAAUAUAUCAGUGUUUUAAGAAAUAAAUGUACUUUACAACAAAAUAAUUAAAUAUUUAAUCAUUUGAAUUUUACUUUUUAAAAUAAAUUAAAUGACAUGUAAAAAAGUAAUAAUGAAUUUUUCCCCAAUUUAUAGCUUCCUCACAGCCAAUGUAAAAUUUAUAUUAAUAAAUCCAAAAUAUACAAAA
rnacentral:misc_RNA from 1 species